AUCCAGUUGACGAGUCUUAAAUAGAACGAAACGUGCGUCCUAGAU
rnacentral:hammerhead_ribozyme from 1 species